ensembl:lncRNA
AGCUGCCCUUACAGCUGCUGUGGAUGCUCCAUGGUGCCCACGAAGAGGAAAAGUACGUGACUGGGGAGCAGUGGGAAACAGGUUUUGUCCAAAGAUAUUUUAAUCAUUAUCACUCGUCACUCCAAAAUGGUCAGACACAGUUCAGAGCUGUAUUCUUCCUGUGAUUUUUGUUGGUCAACAGAGGGCCAGAGACAGAUCUGUACAUCACUUCAGUCCAACAAACCCUGUUGUGAGAGGCUUCCCUGGCAUUUAAGUGAGAUCCAUCACUGUAACAUGCACCUCCCAAGUGUUAUCACUGAAUUGUUUGCCAGCGUAUGUCUGAAUCAAAGAGAAGGGGCAGAAAGUGUCCUGGCUGAUGUGCAACCUUUUAAUGAUUUUCUUCUGCAAUCACUCACAGAAUGCCAUUUGAGGAGCUGUGAAAGAAUGACUUUUAAAACCCAAGCUAUUCUAUGAUUCUGUGAUUGUAAAACAAGACCUCAGACCUUCAUGAUCAUUUUCUUUACAUCAAAAGCUCAUUCUGAAUCUCAAG